UACGGAGGGUGCGAGCGUUGUCCGGAAUCACUGGGCGUAAAGGGCGCGUAGGCGGCCGUGUAAGUCACUUGUGAAAUCCCGGGGCUCAACUCCGGGGCUGCAGGUGAGACUGCAUGGCUAGAGCACGGUAGAGGCGAGUGGAAUUCCCGGUGUAGCGGUGGAAUGCGUAGAUAUCGGGAAGAACACCGGUGGCGCAAGCGACUUGCUGGGCCAUUACUGACGCUGAGGAACGAAAGCUAGGGGAGCGAAUGGG
rnacentral:rRNA from 1 species